GAUAAACGCUGGCGGCGCACAUAAGACAUGCAAGUUGAACGGACUUAAUCGAAAUAUUUAUAUUUUGAAGCGGUUAGUGGCGGACUGGUGAGUAACGCGUAAGGAACCUGCCUAUUAGAGGGGAAUAACAGUGAGAAAUCAUUGCUAAUACCGCAUAUGCCAUAGAUAUCACAUGAUAACAGUGGGAAAGGAGCAAUCCGCUAAUAGAUGGCCUUGCGUCUGAUUAGAUAGUUGGUGGGGUAACGGCCUACCAAGUCGACGAUCAGUAGCCGGACUGAGAGGUUGAACGGCCACAUUGGGACUGAGAUACGGCCCAGACUCCUACGGGAGGCAGCAGUCGGGAAUAUUGCGCAAUGGAGGAAACUCUGACGCAGUGACGCCGCGUAUAGGAAGAAGGUUUUCGGAUUGUAAACUACUGUCGUUAGGGAAGAGAAAGGACAGUACCUAAGGAGGAAGCUCCGGCUAACUACGUG
rnacentral:rRNA from 1 species